CCUGAAAAAAUAAUCAGCAUAAAAGCUCUGGCCCUUAGGCUCUCAACUGGCAUGUCAUUAAUCAUUCUGAGAACAAUCAGAAAGGAGAUUUCUUCAUGAAGAGUGGAAGAAUCACCAGCAUUUUACUAGCUUAAUAGAUCACAAUUUGAAAAAUUGUUAAUGAUAUUUGUGUUUUUGGUACUAGCUCAAGCAAUUAAUUGGGCACCGAGCUUGGUAGGACUUUAGGCAACAAUUCUUGAGGUAAAAUAUGGAUCUUCUUAUGGCCAAAAAAUCAACUUCAGAAUCCAACAAUGACAGAACAACGUAAAUUGUAGCCCCAUAAAAAGGAUUUUUAUGGACUGGUUCUACACUUUUUGUUCUAAAUAAACCAUGUUGAUCUUCCAAUGAGUGAUCUUGAUUAGCUCUAGUUAUGAGAACUGGUUAGCAUUGGCCUGCUUGCCUGAUUAGAUUAAUCAAAGUAAAUUAAAGCUGUCAUCCCCAGAAUUUGAAAUCCUGAAAGCUUUUGGCUUUCUUUAUUUUGCUUGUAUUGAUAGUGAUGCUAGAGAAAUAUAGUAUAUUCAAUGUUUCACUGGCCUUAUUACAACUAUAGGAUUAUCCUGAGACCCCAGAUCUUAUUACUGCUACUUUUCAUAUCGAGUCGUAUCGUGUUUAGAAUGCAAAAACUAUCUAUGUGGAUAUCAUUUCUGAGGUAGUGAUUUUAGUCUCAUCAUGUGGCCAUUUGGCUGAGAGAAACCUAGAUAUCAUUACUGCAGGCCAGUGGUUCAGUGAAUUCAUCUUCUAUUCGUAUUAUCAAUGAAUCAGUUAUGUCGAUUGCUAUGCUAUCUUCUAUUAUGAAUUAUUUGCAAUGAUAGACUGGAGGUGGACUAGCUGAAUAUGCUGUGGCUAAGGAGAAUCUGACUGUUGCAAGGCCACCAGAAGUAUCAGCUGCUGAAGGUGCAGGUUUGCCUGUUGCUGGUCUUACAGCUCACCAGGCACUCACACAGUCGGCUGGGGUCAAGCUUGAUGGAAGUGGCCAGCAAGUAAACCUCUUGAUUACUGCUGCUUCAGGUGGUGUAGGUCAAUAUGCAGUUCAACUAGCAAAGCUUGGAAACACCCAUGUGACAGCCACUUGUGGGGCUCGCAAUCUGGAUUUCGUCAAAAGCCUCGGAGCAGAUGAGGUUCUUGACUACAAAACUCCCGACGGUGCAGCUCUAAAAAGCCCUUCGGGUCGCAAAUAUGAUGCAGUGAUCCACUGUGCAAUGGGCAUUCCUUGGUCUACCUUUGAACCUAAUCUAAGUUCAAACGGGAAGGUAAUCGAUAUAACCCCAGGUCCUAGUGCUCUGCUAACUUUUGCUAUGAAAAAGCUUACCUUCUCAAAGAAGAACCUGGUACCACUGCUAUUGUCACCUAAGAAGGAGAACCUCGAAUAUCUAAUUAACUUAGUGAAAGAGAAGAAGCUUAAGACGGUAAUUGAUUCAAAGCAUCCCUUAAGUAAGGCUGAAGAAGCAUGGGCUAAGAGCAUUGAUGGCCAUGCCACUGGUAAGAUCAUUGUGGAGCCUUAAUCUAUGAAAUAUUACUUUAUACUUAAUACAGUGAUGCUUGAAGGACAUAUUGCUUGUUUGUAUAAUUAGGAUUUUUGCACUUUGAAAUUUAUGUUUAUGGAAUGUUUGGUUAAUAUAUUGCAAAAUUUUCUUAACGUGUUGUAAGCUUCGAAUUCACAAAUUUAGCUCUGCUUUUAUAUGGCUCCUGCUUCUCCUUGCUUUUCUUGGUUUAUAAUUUGAUCAAUGAAAUGUUGUUGGAAGUUGGACUAUCUUGUGUUUUUUUUUUCCCAGUUAAUGGUUAUUUUUCCUUGUAAUAUCGUUUUUAAAGUUCAAAUUUGCAAUAUUUCUUUGAUAGUGUAAUAUCUCUUAUCAUUACAUUUAAUACUUGUUGGUAUUUGUAUACUUUUUUAUUGGGUUAAUAUUUCAAUUUUUUUUUUUAAAAAAUCAAAAUUUUGCUUUUAAGUUUAAUUUUGUCAAUUUUAUUUAGUUCUAAAAUAUUUAAAAAUGAUUAAAAUAUUUUUUUUAUUGUAACACAUUAAUUUUGAUUUUUAUGGUUGUCAAUUAAAUUGACCUUGGGACAUUAGUUCAAAUUAUAUCCUUAAUUCAUUUGUAGAGUUUUUAAAAAUAAUAUCUGGAAUAAUUAUUUUUUAAGUACAUAUUGGACAUCUGUUACCUUCUCAUCAGUUUGUACUGAUGAUUAAGAAUCAUGCAAUCUAUAGUUGAUGUACGCGAUUCAAUCAAAAUUUAUCAUCAUAGUUCAUCCGUUGACUAAUCAUUUCAACUGAUUUUUUUAGCCUUGUAUGCUUAAGGCAUGAGUUUAAUUUAUAAAAUUUUUGAAUUGAUUUGUUUUAGUUAUUAUAUUUUCUAAAUUUUAAAAUUUCAGCACAAUUGAGAUGAUAAUAAUUAAAUUUAUUUCGAUUAAAUUUUAUUUUAAUUUUAUAUUAUGUAUAAAGUUAUAAAUUUUACCUAUAUUCACUUAUUCAGUAAAUUUUAGUUUUUCAAAAUUUGAAAUUUUAGUUUCGACGUAAAUGAUAAUCACUAAAUUUAUUAAAUGAUUUUUUGUGGGUGAUAUGUUAAAAUAGCAAGUUAACAUGACAUAAUAUAUUUUCCGCAUAAAAUUUUAAAAAUAAUAUAACGUAAUUUAACAGUUGUUGUUUAGUUAAGAUUUUAAAAAAUAGAUACUCAAAAUCAAACAAGUUAAAGUAAAAAACUAGACACACAACUUAUAUAUAUAGUACAAUAAUAAAUAGUAUAAAUAAAUUUAAACUAUAAAAAAUUAUUAGAUUUCGUCAUAAGGGUGAAAAAUGUAUGUAAUAAAUAUAAUAACAAAAAAUAGUUUUGGAUGAAGUGAUAAAAGUUAAAAGACUAAAAGUCAUAAUGUUCUGAGUUUAAAUCUCAUUAUUAUCCCUAUCUAUUUUUUAAAAUUUUAUAUGUAAAAGGAUAAAACUACCUUUAAAAUUAUAUUUAGUAUAGAUUAAAAUGAGAAGUUUUUAUAUGAAAUAUUGACAGAUGUAGCGUAAGCAGGUUGAGCUUUGGGCAAUUUGCGAUGCACUCCUUUUGACGUGGGUGUUUAUAUGAAAUAAUUUUAUAAUUGAUUCCAGUUUUUUUAUUUAAAGAAAAUGAGAAAUUUUUAAUAAAUUCAUUAUUGAGUUGGUGACUCGAUUGCGAUUGAUAUUAAUAUAAUAAAAUACUUAAAUAUUGUAAUAAACGGUAAUAGAUAAUAGAUAAAUAUUUUCCAAAUAUGAAAUAAAUAAUACAACUUUAGCAGCUACCAAAUUCAACAUUUCAAUAGAUUUCUUGCAAAAUCAUCCAGGGUAUAUCCGUCAAAUUAACAAUGUGGUCUCCAUUUGUUUUUAUACGCCAUUCUUUGAACUUCAUUUUUUCUUAUAGAAAAAAGCUUCGGUUUGAUCUCUUUUAGUGAAAGAAAUGGCUGAAACUCUUAUGCAUGCUUUACAAUAUGACAGCUAUGGCGGAGGCGCUGCUGCUUUGAAGGUAAAAAUCUACUUCAUUAUGAUGAUCUAUUUUGCUUGCUUUUACUUUUUUCUUACUGUUUUAUCAUAUAAGUUUAGUUCCUUUUUUUAGUGGAGACUUCAAUUAAGGUUGUUAAUCUAGUGUUUACAUUGAUCUAAGUUUGCUCUUCGGAUUCAAAAUUCGAUUCGUUUAACUUAUGAUUGAAGAAAGCAUGAAUAUGAUUUCAAUGAGUGCCGUGAGUUACUAAGGAAUUGGAAUUUUCUGGAACGGAAAUGAACUAUAGGGAAUUUGCUAUUCGGAAUUAAAAUUUCACGACAAGGAUAUGAGAUUGUGAGGUUGACUUGAUGGAGAAGUUAAGUGUUGACCGAUUUUAUUGUCGGAUUCAAAAUUUUAUUUGUUAAAUUUGUGAUUGAAAGCAUAUAGAUAAUUUGAAUGAGUACUCCGAUGCACUAGGAUUCUGGAAUUUUCUGGAAUUGAAGUAAAUUAAGUAUUUGCUCUUUGGAAUUAAAAAUUCCAAAAAAGAUCUGUGACUUAUGGGCUAAGACUUGAUAGUGAAGUUAAGUGUUAACUGAUUUUAUCGUCGGAUUCAAAAUUCUAUUAGUUAAAAAAUUGUGAUUGAAAGCACAUUCUGGAACGGAAGUAAAUAAGAAUUUGCUCUUGGAAGAGAUCUGAGACCGAGAGGUUGAUAGGUUGAUACUCUUUUUUUUUUUUUUUUUAAAUUUAAUCGGCAUGCUUUAUUAAUACCACAAAACAAGACAAAAUUGGUUGUUUGGAAAACUCCACCCACAGCAACACUAAACCACCAAAAACAAACAAUUAAAACAAAAAAAAAUUUUUAUAUGGACCUGCUUGAUAUAAACUUGAAAAGAAAUUUUACCAGUGACUUGAUGUCAUAACAGCUUUGAAUUUUUUGUGCUUGUUACAGCAUGUUGAAGUUCCAAUACCCACUCCAAAUAAAGAUGAAAUGUUGCUUAAACUGGACGCAAUUAGUCUAAACCCAGUUGACUGGAAAAUACAGGAAGGGGUGCUUCGCCCAUUUUUACCUAGAAAAUUCCCCUGCAUACCUGGUAGUUUAUAUAUUUUGUUCUUUUCACCUUUUCUGUCUUGAAAUUUUCUUGAGACUUUCUUUUUGUCAAUGAUGUUUGAACCGGAUCAGACUGGCCAGUUAGACCAGGAAUUAGCCUAGGUAUCGGUCCGGAGAAUGACUUUGAACAGAUACGGACCAGUUGAACCUACGGUUGGAUUGGAAACUAGUCAUCGGUUUAGAGAAUGGCUUUGAACUGGUUUAGAUCGGGAACCAGUACUGACCGGUUCAACAGAUUAAAAAACUAGUUGAACCGAGUUUUUUGAGUUUUUUUAAUUGAACCAAUCGAAUUGAUCGCACCAGCGAACGAGUGGCCUGGUUUCUAAAACACUAUUGUUAAGUAUAUCUCAUGUUACGUGAGUCUUCACAAUCUGUUUUUGUUGUAUUACUAUGUUGAAUUCCCUAGCAGGGCUUUCUAAAAAUUUUACUUAGUAUCUGCCGGAUUAUUGAACUUGUAAUCUAAUUUGCGUCGAUUUACAUUGUGGAGUUUGCUUUAGAGGUAACUAUUGAUGGGAAAAAAAUGUGUCUAUUUGACUCAAGUUAUCAUUAAAGGACAGAAUUUGUCUAUCUGUUAAGGCAUAUCCUUUUUCUAUAAUUAACCAACAUAAUAAUAAGCUGGUUGGCAGGUCUCGUAGUUUAAGCAGUUGUGGUUAUUGAUGGUAAUUUUUGUCACCCUCUUGUCAUGGAAGAUUUGAUAUCUCAAAUAUUUUUUUUUUGCAGCUAGUGAUGUAGCAGGAGAAGUCGUAAAGGUUGGACCAGGAGUUACAAAUUUCAAAGCUGGGGAUAAAGUUGUAGCUGCGCUUCAUCAUUUUGUAAGUUCUCGUUCUCAUUCUUAAUCCCCCCCUCCCCAAGUCAGCAUAAAAAGUCUGGCCUGGAGGCUUAGUUUUCAGAAUCAGAUAGGUGGUUGAACUGAUGAUACCACCAUUUUGAUUAAAUAAUUAAUUAAAAAAUAUAUAAAAUAAAAAAUCUGAUUUAAGCGGUCCAACCAGUCCGUAUUGAUUCCUGAGUUAAAAGGUUCAAAGCCUUCUUCCGGAUAGGUACUCUAGCUGGAUCUUGGCCCAACGGUCGGAUCGGCUGGUCUAAUCUGGUUCAAACAAUCUUGCCGGCAUGUCAUUAAUCAUUCUGAGAACAAUCAGAAAGGAGAUUUCUUCUUGAAGAGUGGAAGAAUCACCGGUAUUUUACUAGCUUAACGGAUCACAAUUUGAAAAACAGUCAAUGAUAUUUGUAUUUUUGGUAUUAGCUCGAGUAAUUAAUUGGGCGUUGAGCUUGGUAGGACUUUAGGCAACAAUUCUUGAGGUAAAAUAUGGAUCUCCUCAUGGCCAAAAGAUCAACUUUUGAAUCCAGCAAUGAUGGAAUGCGCGUAAAUUGUAGCCCCAUAAAAAGAAAUUCCAAGGACUAGUGCUACAUUUUUUGUUCUAAUAAACCAUGUUGGUCUUCCAAUGAGUGAUCUUGAUUAGCUUAGUCAUGAGAACCGCUUAGCAUUGACCUGCUUGCCUGUUUGGAUUAAUCGGUAUCGUGUUUAGAAUGCAACCAUCCUUUGUCUAUGUGACUAUCAUUACUCUCAUUAUCUCGCCAUUUGGCUGAGAGAAACCUAGAUAACCUUACUGCAGUCCAGUGGUUCAGUGAAUUUAUCUUCUAUUCAUAUUAUCAGCGAAUCAGUAUCAGUUAUUUCGAUUGCUAUGACUAUCUUCUAUAAUGAAUUAUAUUUACAAUGAUAGACCGGAGGUGGACUAGCUGAAUAUGCUGUGGCUAAGGAGAAUCUGACAGUUGCAAGGUCACCAGAAGUAUCAGCUGCCGAAGGUGCAGGUUUGCCUGUUGCUGGUCUCACAGCUCACCAGGCACUCACCCAGGCAGCUGGGGUCAAGCUUGACGGAAGUGGCCAGCAAGUAAACCUCUUGAUUACUGCUGCUUCAGGUGGUGUAGGUCAUUACGCAGUUCAACUAGCCAAGCUUGGAAACACACAUGUAACAGCCACUUGUGGGGCUCGUAAUCUGGAUUUUGUCAAAAGCCUUGGAGCAGACGAGGUUCUUGACUACAAGACUCCCGACGGGGCGGCUCUAAAAAGCCCUUCGGGUCGCAAAUAUGAUGCAGUGAUCCACUGUGCAGCGGGCAUUCCUUGGUCUAC
rnacentral:lncRNA from 1 species